GCCGGGAUAGCUCAGUUGGUAGAGCGGUAGACUGAAAAUCUGCGCGUCCGUGGUUCAAUUCCGCGUCCCGGCA
rnacentral:tRNA from 3 species